rnacentral:rRNA from 1 species
UGGGGAAUAUUGGACAAUGGGCGCAAGCCUGAUCCAGCAAUGCCGCGUGAGUGAAGAAGGCCUUCGGGUUGUAAAGCUCUUUCAGUCGAGAAGAAAAGAUUACUGAUAAUACCAGUAAUCCAUGACGGUAUCGACAGAAGAAGCACCGGCUAACUACGUGCCAGCAGCCGCGGUAAUACGUAGGGUGCGAGCGUUAAUCGGAAUUACUGGGCGUAAAGGGUGCGCAGGCGGUUAUGUAAGUCAGAUGUGAAAUCCCCGGGCUUAACCUGGGAACUGCGUUUGAAACUACAGGACUAGAGUGUGGCAGAGGGGGGUGGAAUUCCAUGUGUAGCAGUGAAAUGCGUAGAGAUAUGGAAGAACAUCGAUGGCGAAGGCAGCCCCCUGGGUUAACACUGACGCUCAUGCACGAAAGCGUGGGGAGCAAACAGGAUUAGAUACCCGCGUAGUCCCUGAGCGGGCUGGCAAGGCGCAU